rnacentral:lncRNA from 1 species
UUUUUUUUUUUUUUUAAGAGAUCAGUUCUUAAAAGGCAGAGAUUCCAAGGGAGAGAAAUUCUCCCAGCAUCUUUUUCAAUAACUGUGCUGUGAACUGCCCAAAGAGAGAACCACCUAAUCAACCACUCCUUGGUAGAAGACUCAAGGAGUGGUCCCUGACUGAUGGCAAACAAGAAAAAGGAAAGCCAUUCCUACAAACACAAGGAAUUAAAUUGUGCCAACCAACAGUGUGCCUGGAAGAGGAUUCUGAACCUCAGAUGAAACUGCAGCCCUGGCUGCCACCUUGAUUUCAGCCUCUAAGACUCUGAGGACAGGACCCAGCUAAACCAUGCCCAGAUUCCUGACCUACGGAAACUGAGAUUGGCUGCUAAAAUUGUGGUAAUCUGCAAUGCAGCAAUGGAAAGCUAAUAUAGAUGCCUCCUUUGAUUUGAGGAAAUAUGGCUUAUAUUAUUUCUCUCAAAGCCUGUUAAUGUUUAUGCUCUCGUCAAAACAAUAUCUAAUACUUCACAUUAUUAUGAGUGAGAAGAUUCAAUUUCACAAGUCAGCAGGAUAAGAUAUUACUACUCUCAAAACUUUACAGGUAAAAAAAGCUUUAUAAUGCCUGAAAGUUUAUUUCUUCCAUCAACUGAGCAUGAAUACACUGCUAUAAAAUUAGUAUAUUCGCUUCCACCUUUCAAAAUCAACGACAUACAAAAAUAAAUACAUCAACCUCAGUCCUUAUCCAUUUCUAAUGGAAUGAAAGUAAAAUUGAAUGUGUGGUGAGAAAAGCUAAUUUUGAGAUCUAACAUGGCCAUAUACUUUUGACAAUCUAGUUUCUAAGAACCUCAGGGAACUCAGCUAUCUUUAAAAAAGGAAAUAAAAAAACUGAAUUAAAUCUGGAGUCUAAUUAAUAGAAGAAAAAAUACAGGGGCAGCUGGGUGCCUCAUCGAAAGAAAGAAAGAAAGAAAAAGAAAAAAAGAAAGAAAGAAGAAAGAAAGAAAAAGAAAAAAUACAUACAUAUAUAAAUGGAUAAUAGGGGAUCCCUGGGUGGCUUGGCGGUUUGGUGCCUGCCUUUGGCCCAGGACAUGGUCCUGGGGACCCAGGAUCAAGUCCCCCAUCGGGCUCCCUGCAUGGAGCCUGCUUCUCCCUCUGCCUGUGUCUCUGCCUCUCUCUCUCUCUCUCUCUCUGUGUGUGUGUGUGUGUUUCCCAUGAAUAAAUAAAUAAAUCUUUUAAAAAAUAAAAAUAAAUGGAUAAUAAUGUACACUUUGCCAGCCUUAUAGAGUACUUAAUUAAAUGCCAUUGAAAAUAGCUUGUACAUCUACAGACCUUACUAUGUGUCAGGCACUGUUCAGUAACUACGAGGUAAGAAAUAAAUUUAUAGAUGAUAAGUAUAGUACAUAGAACAGUGAUCAAGGUCCCAGGGUCUAGAACCAGACUACCUGAAUACAAUUCCAGUUCCACCACUAACUAAAGGUGAGGUCCUGAGCAUGUUUAACUUCUCUGUACCAAAUUUUCAACUACAAAAUAGGGACAUUAACAAUACUUACCUCAGAGAGCUAUGGUGAAAAUUUUAAAAAGUUAAUACAAAGGAUACAGAAGAGUGCCUGGCACACAUUAAGCACUCAAAUGUUGAUAUCAAUAUUAUUUUUAUAAGUGUCAUAUUAAUAUUCAUUUCAAAGAAAGGCAAUCUAUGGUAGAUAACAUAAAAGAACACUAAUAAGCCAAGUUUUAGAACCCUAAAAUAUUAAUAAGAUUAUCUAAUUCCCUGUGACCCAACUCCUAAAUUCUUUAUCUACCAAAAUUCAAUUUUAUUUAGAAAUUUUAAUCUUUACUAGAACACCAUUCAGUCCACUGCUCUUAAUGUUUGCAAGUAACUUUUAUAAAAUUUUACAAAAACAUAGAAUUAGGGACACCUGGGUGGCUCAGCGGUUGAGCGUCUGCCUUUGGCUCAGGGUGUGAUCCCGGAGUGGAGUACCAAGAUCGGGUCCCACAUCAAGCUCCCUACAUGGAGUCUGCUUCUCUCUCUGCCUGUGUCUCUGCCUUUCUCUCUGUGUGUCUCUCAUGAAUAAAUAAAAAUCUUUAAAGAAGAAAAUUUUUUAAAACCACAGAAUUUAAAUUCUGAAAAGGGCAAAAUUCAAAUGUAUAUAACUAAAGUUACAAUACAGUAUUUAAAAUGCAAUCAAGGGGGAGAUCCCUGGGUGGCUCAGCGGUUUAGCCCCUGCCUUCGGUCCAGGGCAUGAUCCUGGAGUCCCAGGAUCAAGUCCCACAUCGGGCUUCUGCAUGGAGCCUGCGUCUCUCUGACUAUCUCUCUCUCUCUCUCUCUCCCUGCCCACUCUCUGUGUCUCUCACAAAUAAAUAAAAUAUUUUUAAAAAUAAAAUAAGAUCAAGAGGAAAGAGGAAAUCCUUUAAGGAGCAUUUUAGAUUUAGGUAACAAAAUAAAAUUGUGAAAACUAUUUAAAUCUCCUAUGAACAAUAAAAAUAAUAUGCUCUCACUAUAUUUAUUAAAUAUAAAACACCUGGGCACCUCGGUGGCUCAGUAGUUGAACGUCUGCCUUUGGCUUAUUUUAUUUUAAAAUAAAAUCUUUAAUAUAUAUCUCUAUAUACACAUAUAUUUAUGCAUGUAUUACACAUAUAUAUAUAACACCUAUGAAUAACUCGGUAAGGAAUACUCCUGUACAAAGUAUGAAAAAGCAGGAAAAAGAAUUUAAGAUUUUAUUUAUUUAUUUAUUCAUGACAGACACGGAGAGAGGCAGAGACUAAGCAGAGGGAGAUACCGGACUCGAUUCCAGGAUCCCUCUGGACCUGAGCCAAAGGCAGACACUCAACCACUGAGCCACCCCAGUACCCAAAAGAAUUUUUUUAAAUGACAAAUAAAAAUAGCUUAAGAAAUCACAUAAUGGAAACAUGCAACAGAUACUCAUUGACUUGAACAAUUUACACCUUAGAGACUACCAAGUGCUGAUUCUUAAAUUUUUUGCUAUUCCUUCCAAGCAUGCCAUAUUACACAUUUUCAAAUCCUAAAUAAUAGAUUUUUGUGGCUCAUCCUCCAAAGAAUCUCUUCCAAAAAGAGUUCACUGUAACUGCAAAACACAUUUUGUACACAGAAAAAAAUUAUAAAAAUCACUGUGCUCCAUAAUCUUUCAGACAGAUUUGGCCUAGACCAAUUUCUUCUACUGCUGAAGACGCAUCUGGGUCCUGAUAGCCAUAGCAAGAACAAGACUAAAUUUAAUGACAAAUGCAGGUUUAGUGCAAGUCAAUUCAAAUUACAGGCUUAAAUUUCACAAUUAUAUUGUAUAAGGCCAUAAACCUGGGAAUUGCUUCUCCAGGAGUCUGUUAAUCGUCUUCCUUCUGACAAACACACACAGAAUGAAAUCCUAUUACUUUCCCCCCUAUCAGUACAGCUGAUGACUUCCAUUUUCAAUAGAAAACUCUUCCACUGAAAUUUAAGAGGCAGCAUGCAUGGUGAUUAAAACAGACCAUAGAUAAUAUGGAUCUUGAUUUGAAUCCCAGUUGUGAGUUCAAGUUCCUAUCUAUAUGUUCUUAGAAAACCCUCUGAAUCUAUUUCUUCUGUCAUAAGAUAGGCUUAUUAAUACCUAUUUCAUAGGGACUGGUGUGAGUUAACUAGUUAACACAAAAAUCCUUAGCAUAAUGCCUGACGUAUAGUAAACAUUCAGUAAGUGGUAAUAAGGGUUAUCAAUAUAAUAAUUAUCAAAUUACUUAUUUAUCAAAUUAUCAAAUCUGUAUCUUAUCCUCUAGAUUCACACCCAUCUCCCUUCUAGCUAAUUCUUUAUAAAUAAAUGGAAGCAGCUCUGAGGCUAAAAUCAAUCAUCAUCAAAAGAAAAAGAGACCUAGUAGGCAACUUCCACACAUCCAAUCACCUUUUUUCUCUUUCAUGCCUGAGUCAUUAUCCAUACUCAACAGAAAAUACAUAAUCACUCUGUCUGGGCCUAAAUGUACAGAGGAGAACAGAGGCCUUUUACUUAAAGAUACCUCAUCCAUGAUGUAGCACUAAUAGCACACAUUUACCUUUUCAACAAGCUCAGCACUAGAAUGACCCCACAGGUGAAAUAGAAAUCAACUAAAAGUAUUUGUUGGAUCAAAAGUUUCAUUACUGAGUCAGGAAAAGAAAGGUCAACUUAAUGCAUCAUAUGUAUCAAAUACGUAGGCCAUUUCACUUUUAGGAUGUGCUUCCAGAAUUGCAGAACAAAAAAGUUGACACAAAAUCUCCAUCAACUAUUGCACCUGGCUUUCUAAGCCAUUCAAUAAAUAUUUGUUGAGGGCAGACCCUGGUGGCUCAGCGGUUUAGCGCCACAUUCAGCCCAAGGUGUGAUCCUAGAGACUGGCAUCGAGUCCCACGUUGGGCUCCCUACAUGCAACCUGCUUCUCCCUCUGCCUGCGUCUCUGCCUCUCUCGCUCUGUCUCUGUCUCUCCCUCUCUCUCUCUGUCUCUGUCUCUCAUGAAUAAAAUAAGAUCUUUAAAAUAAAUAUUUGUUGAACACCAAAGAUGACAUGAUAAUGUCCUCCUCUUACAGAGCCUAUUAAAAAAUCUUUCUAAUCUUUUUUUCCUCUUUCAUUCAUUAGCAAAUUACAUGCCUACUAAGUAAGCAGGAAAUAUUAGGCACUUGGGGGUAAGAGAGAUUAACGGAAAGAUGAAUAACACAUGACACUUGCCCUCAAAGAAUUGACAGACCAGUAGAAGAAAAAAAUACAACUUUUUAAGUGCUAUAAAAGCCACACAGAAACUGUGGAUAACAAGGAGAAAAAUCAACAAACUCCACUUACAUUAAUGAGGACAGGUUUUUCUAGAAAAGAUGAUAUUUCAGUAGAGUCUGAAGAGAUAAAUAUUGUACAGGCUGAGGAAAUAGCAAGGCACAGAGACAAAUAUACACGGAAGUAUACACAUACACACAAAUAUGCAUUAAACAGUACUGUGUGUAUAUAGAUAUAUAAUCAGUGUUUAGAUACAAGUGAGGGAAGUCACAGAACUAAAAAAUACAGAAACUGAUGUGACUCUCAAAGAUGAUACACAACUAUAUAGAAGAAAAGUUACGGACACCUGGGUGGCUCAGCGGUUGAGCAUCUGCCUUUGGCCCACAUCAGGCUCCUUCCAGGGAGCCUGCUUCUCCCUCAGCCUAUGUCUCUGCUUCUCUUUCUCUCUAUGUCUCUUAUGAAUAAAUAAAUAAAAGUCUUUCAAAAAAAAAAAAAAAAA